GAUGAACGCUGGCGGCGUGCCUAAUACAUGCAAGUAGAACGCUUAAGGAGGAGCUUGCUCUUCUGGAUGAGUUGCUAACGGGUGAGUAACCUGUAGGUCACCUGCGUGUUAGCGGGGGAUAACUAUUGGAAACGAUAGCUACUACCGCAUGACAACAGUUAUUGCAUGAUAACCGUUGAAAAGUGGCAUCUGCUCCACUACCAGAUGGAGUUGCGUUGUAUUUGCUAGUUGGUGAGGUAACGGAUCACCAAGGCGACGAUACAUAGCCGACCUGAGACGGGGGACGGCCACCCUGGGACUGAGAAACGGCCCAGACUCCUACAGGGAGCAGCAGUAGGGAAUCUUCGGAGAUGGAGGGAAGUCUGACCGAGGAAAACCGGGUGAGUGAAGAAGGUUUUCGGAUCGUAAAGCUAUGUUGUAAGAGAAGGACGAGUAGGAGAGUGGAAAGUUCACACUGUGACGGUAUCUUAACAGAAAGGGACGGCUAACUACGUG
rnacentral:rRNA from 1 species